CAAUCUUGCAUUGUGGAAAUUGAAGCACUCCCGACACUCUCGAACUGCUUUGGCUUUAAAGGAACUGCUUGUUUGAGCAUACCGCGGCGCACCCCUCUGUUAGCUUUCAUACUUUCUUCUGUUAUCAUUAUUGAUGAUACUAUAAUGUGUAAUGGGCUUAGAAACCCACAUAGUACAUAGUAUAAUGCACAUGUAUAUUUAUGUAUGUAUGACUUUAGAUUAUGUUCGAUAAUCUAAACGAUAGUCUACGAAGAAAUGCUCUCUACGAGCGUAUUGUAUAUUCUUUAUUGUGAGAAGUCCGCACUAUUAUCUGUUUUAUGAUCAUCUCCACAGUUUCAAUGUAAAAUACUGGACACAUUUUCUCAGGAGAUUAAUUCUGUAACUACAACUUCACAAACUUUGAUUAAAAGUCUUUCGUUUUGGAACAAGGACAGUUUCCUGGACUUGAACUUGCGCCUGAUCGGAGCUCGAGGAUUCUCCAAGUCCAGUUCCACGAUCUGCCUAAACUAUUCCCUUUUCGAUUCCACUACUAGGACGAAAACCCAAUACAGAAAUACGACGACUAAGGCUUAUCUCAAGUGGCAGAUGCAGAAACAAACUAAAGGUAGCAAUAAGAUGGGGCUAUAUCUUUAAUCAGUCAACAAUUAAAUUCGUUUCACGUUUUCUGUGUCUCUUUCCUCCGCUGGAGGCAGGAUGUAGAGUAAUUUAGCUUAUGGAGAUACUCAAAACAUGAUCAUUACACACACUUAUGAGACUCUCGAGACUCUUCGGGGACUGACUGGCUCUCCUGCUGCUUUAGUUGCCACACACUUGUGAGACGAGCCACGCCCAAGGCACCGGCAGCGGCUCCAAAGACCUUCAGUGGCUUACUGCUUCCUGACUGGGCCAGCAAAACGGAGCCCAUUCCGAUCAGACACAUGCCACUGAAGCAUCGUCGGCGCAAAGGAUCCCGUUCUCUGCGGCAAAAUAGCAGAAUCAUUUCGUUUUUUACUUUGUGAUCGAAAAAAAUAUAUAAAUCUAUAUCUGGAAAAACCCAAUCCCUUAUAAAGGAAAUAAAUGGAACUGCUGGAAGUGUCGAUUGGUUCUGCAGAGCCAACUGUGCUCAAAAUUUCUAUUAAAUAUCUAACGACUUUUUAGCAGAAUUCAUUUGUAAGCAGAACACAGCUGAUUGACCGGUGUGACCGUACUUAGUUUCCUGUUGCCUGGCCACACUCUGUCACUAUAGGUUGAACCAGGAACCACUAACAAUACAGUAUAUAGAUGUGCCAGUUCAUACAGCGAACAUGUCGCACAUCGAACACAUGAAACUGGAUCCCAGGUUCUUCGGCUCUGGCGUUCGGCUACCGCCGCGUCAUCAAGAGCCAAGCAACGCUUUGCAUGUAACUGCAUACAACAAUAGAAUACAACACAAAACUGAUCAACACAAGAAUAUAAAUAAAUAUAAACAAAAUGAGGUUAAUUCAUAGCUUGUUGCCAUUGGUUUUUAAUCAGCUACAGAAAAUCACGGAUGACCGUGACAAAGUGCCACAGCGUGUUCCGUUUCCGUUUCCGAAUUUGACAUUGACUUUGCUUCCAAAACGAAUCCUUGUCUGUCGGUCAUGCUUUGUUUUUUAUGUUUCGAUAAUCUACUCCGCUCAAGUAUCAUUCCAAAAUUGUUUGUUCUGUCCGAGAAAAAUAGCUUGUUCAGCUUGAUAGUUAUAUGAGCGGCUGGACGAGAGCGACUACCUUCAUUCUCAGAGCGGAGAUUCAACGUGUCUCCCACUCCAGCUGCGACUGAUCACUUUCCAAGAAUGGGUGGACUUCCUACUGCACGUCAACAAACUCAUGGUCGGCACUUGAAGAGGAGGCAUUCGGAAAGGUCAUGUCGGUCAAUGGGGAGCAACAACAGACGCUGGACGAGAACCGAAACUUGCCCAAGGACCAAGGACUGCACAAUCAUCAAGUUCCUACAGAAUGCCUUUCACCGGAACAUUUGGGACACGGACAGCUGUUUACUGGAGACCCAACUGUCCACCAGUUCCCGGACAUAUUCUGCGAGCAGCUUCAUCCGAUUCCGGCAGGCCUCCACGGACUGGAUUUGAUGUCUACUGUGCAUAAAGUAUCUUCAGAAUUUGGCUCUCUUGCUCAUCUUUCACAGAAAGUUUAUCCAGAAAGCAAGAAGCCACCAGAACCCCGGCCCUCUCCAUUUCUUCCUCCGGCAUCUUGGAAAACGGCACAGGCUGUGGAACAUUCGCAAGGCAAUCCGUGAUCUUCUGUAGCUGAUAAAGCCAAUGGCAACAAGCUAUUAAUUGACCUCAUUUUGUGUUCUAUUUAUUUAUAUUCUUGUGUUGAUCAGUUUUGUGUUGUAUUCUAUUGUGUUAUGCAGUUACAUGCAAAGUGUUGUUUGGCUCUUGAUGACGCGGGGGUUAGCCGAUCGCCAGAGCCGAAGACCCUGAGAUCCAGUUUCAUGUUU